UAGAGUUUGAUCAUGGCUCAGGACGAACGCUGGCGGCGUGCUUAACACAUGCAAGUCGAACGCUGAAGCCCGGUGCUUGCACUGGGUGGAUGAGUGGCGAACGGGUGAGUAACACGUGAGUAACCUGCCCCGGACUCUGGGAUAAGCGCUGGAAACGGCGUCUAAUACUGGAUAUGCACCAUGGCCGCAUGGCCUGUGGUGGGAAAGAUUUAUCGGUUCGGGAUGGACUCGCGGCCUAUCAGCUAGAUGGUGAGGUAAUGGCUCACCAUGGCGACGACGGGUAGCCGGCCUGAGAGGGUGACCGGCCACACUGGGACUGAGACACGGCCCAGACUCCUACGGGAGGCAGCAGUGGGGAAUAUUGCACAAUGGGCGCAAACCUGAUGCAGCAACGCCGCGUGAGGGAUGACGGCCUUCGGGUUGUAAACCUCUUUUAGUAGGGAAGAAGCGCAAGUGACGGUACCUGCAGAAAAAGCACCGGCUAACUACGUGCCAGCAGCCGCGGUAAU
rnacentral:rRNA from 1 species